rnacentral:rRNA from 1 species
GUGGGGAAUAUUGCACAAUGGGCGCAAGCCUGAUGCAGCCAUGCCGCGUGUAUGAAGAAGGCCUUCGGGUUGUAAAGUACUUUCAGCGGGGAGGAAGGUGUUGUGGUUAAUAACCGCAGCAAUUGACGUUACCCGCAGAAGAAGCACCGGCUAACUCCGUGCCAGCAGCCGCGGUAAUACGGAGGGUGCAAGCGUUAAUCGGAAUUACUGGGCGUAAAGCGCACGCAGGCGGUCUGUUAAGUCAGAUGUGAAAUCCCCGGGCUCAACCUGGGAACUGCAUCUGAUACUGGCAGGCUUGAGUCUCGUAGAGGGGGGUAGAAUUCCAGGUGUAGCGGUGAAAUGCGUAGAGAUCUGGAGGAAUACCGGUGGCGAAGGCGGCCCCCUGGACGAAGACUGACGCUCAGGUGCGAAAGCGUGGGGAGCAAACAGGAUUAGAAACCCGAGUAGUCC